CAUCUCUAUGAUGAUAGGCCCCUUCGCAGACUGCAAGUGUUCAGUGACAGCAACAAGAAGAUAUUUCACGUUCCAGCUGGAGGCUGUUCCCAAGGCCUGACCACGAACCCCAGUGGAUCCAUGGUUCAUGUAACUCCUAAUUCUAGUGUGGGUGUGAAACUGUUUGUGAAGGACGGCAGUGGAAACAGAUACUACCUGAGGGUCAACAUAGCUCAGAGCAGCAAUGUUGAGCUCGUCUGUCAGAGCCACGUCGAUAAUGCACAAUACAAUCCCUUUCUGAGGCAAGAAUUGGAGUUUGAUCUGGUUACAGUUGACAUCAAUGACUUGUAGACUCUGAACAUUAUAAUUAUAGUACUGCUCACAUAGAACUGCCGACAAUCGAUCACUCAAUACAAUGACCAUUACUGUAGCAUUGCCAUCUCAAUCGCAAUACUCCUUCAUUAUCAUCACACAUAUCAUCGUUUAUAUAUUAUUGAGAACACA